UGGUAAUAACUGCCUAUAUUGUGCUUUGCUGCUGCUGCCAGCUCCUCUCCUUGACAGCGUGCAUUUGAUUGUUGAGAAGUAGAUAAGGCAUACGGUUAGUGACUGGACAGAGAGAAACACCAAUGGAGGAAAACAUCUUCACUAGACUGUAUGAGGCAAUAGUCCACUACUGGCGUGGGCGCAAGUUCAACCCAAAGAGACCACCACCCAGAAAACAAUUUGCCAUGUCCAGUAGUUCCAUGAUGGAAGGACACAAAAUGACGCCAACAGUACAUCUAGGUGAUCACUGUUUUAAAUUCAUCAAUGGACAAUGGAAAAAGAAACGUGCGCCCCAUAAUAAGAGCCAGUUGGAUGACCAUCUCAGUCUCCUGCAAGCACAAAAUGAUCAUCUGAGGGAGAUGAAUAUCUUAUUAGAACAGCAGUGUGAUGAGCUGAGGGAAGAACAUUUCCAGAUAUCAUAGAUUUCUGACCAGUAAAACAUUACUAGAAUGGUCCAAAGCGCA